rnacentral:lncRNA from 1 species
GCUCCCUCAAAAGGGUAGAGUAGAAAAAGGUUCACCUGUGACCAAAUCAUUCAGGGACAGCUGUGCAUCAUCACCUCGUUAAGCACUGAUAGGUCAGCUGGGGGCUGGCAACAUUUAAAAACCCUCCACAUAGAUUUGGUCUGCAGUGGAGUCGUCCCAUUGUAAUUAUGACAGCAAUCCUCUUUACAUGGUAAGCAAGUGGUCAUUUUUUCGCGUGUUAUUUCAAAAUUUCUUAGGGGAGUUCUUUGCUUCAAUAUUGGCUGUCUCUUAUCUGUUUUAGGGUCUUCCUCCAAGCUAUCCUGCUUUGGGAUAUCGAAUGUAGCCCUAUUAAAAAAGGGUUUGCCCCACAAUAUAAAGGCGGGUAUUCUCAAGAUCCGUGGGGUGCCCAACCCAAAGAGCAGCUGUACCCCAGCCAUGAAACCUCUGGCUCCAUGUCUGGACCCGGUGCACAGGGUUUGUCCUCGGGGGCGCUGCCUUCUCCUCCCCCUACAGGAUUCAACGGAGGCUAUUCUUCCCCAAAGGGCUCAUCUCAAGGCUCCUGGGCAAUUCCUCCACGCACGUUCUCUGGUGGGUCAAGAGCCGCUUCUGACGGUCACGCUGGCCCCAAGGGACAAAUGGCCGGCCCCAGCAGUGCGCCCCCACCUGGACCAGAGUUCAUCCCAGGAGAGCUGCUCAACAUCGAGAGCACAAUGGAGGACGGACACUAUGAGUCUGAGACCCAGGAACGCGGUGUACCCCCACCGCCAUCGUAUGAAGCUGCUGUAGGUCAGGCUGAGGCCUUCCCCAGCCCUGCAGCCCUUAUGCCCCAGGCUUCAUUAGGGUAUUUCUACCCUUACGAUGCGAUGUUCAUCACUGGCCAGUAUCCUCCGGGAACCUACACCCAGUCUAGCAGUAGUGUUGAGCGUGGCAGAGAUGACUGGCAGGAAAACCGUUACAUCCGAUAUGACUACCCUGCCAAGAACCAGGAACAGCAGAUGCAGAGUUACUCACAAUACUCGGAUCAGAGCUACCAGCCGGCUGAGCCAGAAGGACCUGGAAAAGGCCAGGAUGUGGAGCAGCAGUUCCAGGCCUAUGAAGGUCAAUGGGUAGGCUGAGACCACCAGAUGUGGAGCCUGGCUGGGACAAUGGGAUUCCAUGUAGGGUUCAAGAACUUCUUUCUCCGUAGAUGCAAUGUCUUUCUGGUGGUGGAAACUUCAUGCAUUUGAUUUGAUGGUCAAUAAAGUUACAAAUUCUACAUCAGAAGGCCCCUUUUUUUCAUAUAUUUGUGCUGCGAACUACAAGCUUAUGCCUCGCUAUAUGCACAUUUUAUGCGUCUGAAAUAAUAAUUUUGGCUGGGGGCUUCGAAUUAUAAUAUUGGUGGCUAAUAUUGGAGUCGUCUUCCCUAUAAAAUGCCUCCAUUGGUGAUUCUGUCUACCUGGGACUUGCAGCGUGAAAUGUCUGAACUAGCAUUAAAGAGGCUGCAGUAGCG